rnacentral:rRNA from 1 species
CCUACGGGAGGCAGCAGUGGGGAAUUUUCCGCAAUGGGCGAAAGCCUGACGGAGCAAUACCGCGUGAGGGAGGAAGGCUCUUGGGUCGUAAACCUCUUUUGUCAGGGAAGAACACAAUGACGGUACCUGACGAAUCAGCAUCGGCUAACUCCGUGCCAGCAGCCGCGGUAAUACGGGGGAUGCAAGCGUUAUCCGGAAUUAUUGGGCGUAAAGCGUCCGCAGGUGGUUGUCCAAGUCUGCUGUUAAAGCAUGGGGCUUAACUCCAUAUAGGCAGUGGAAACUGGGCGACUAGAGUACGGUAGGGGUCGCGGGAAUUCCCAGUGUAGCGGUGAAAUGCGUAGAUAUUGGGAAGAACACCAGUGGCGAAAGCGCGCGGCUGGACCUGUACUGACACUGAGGGACGAAAGCUAGGGGAGCGAAAGGGAUUAGAUACCCCUGUAGUCCUAGCUGUAAACGAUGGAUACUAGGUGUUGCCCGUAUCGACCCGGGCAGUGCCGUAGCUAACGCGUUAAGUAUCCCGCCUGGGGAGUACGCACGCAAGUGUGAAACUUAAAGGAAUUGACGG